rnacentral:rRNA from 1 species
GCAGGAGAUUUGAAGGGGAGCUGCCCGUAGUACGAGAGGACCCGGGUGGACGAACCUCUGGUGUCCCAGCUGUUCCACCAGGAGCAAAUGCUGGGUAGCCAUGUUCGGAAGGGAUAAGCGCUGAAAGCAUCUAAGUGCGAAGCCCACCCCAAGAUAAGAUCUCCCUCCUGGUAGCAAUACCAGGACGAAGACUCCAGGUAGACUACCUGGUUGAUAGGCCUCAGGUGUAAGACCCGCAAGGGUUUAAGCUGAGAGGUACUAAUCAGUCGAGCGGCUUGGCACA